UACGUAGGGUGCGAGCGUUGUCCGGAAUUAUUGGGCGUAAAGAGCUUGUAGGCGGUCUGUCGCGUCUGCUGUGAAAAUCCGGGGCUCAACCCCGGACUUGCAGUGGGUACGGGCAGACUAGAGUGUGGUAGGGGAGACUGGAAUUCCUGGUGUAGCGGUGAAAUGCGCAGAUAUCAGGAGGAACACCGAGUGGCGAAGGCAGGUCUCUGGGCCACUACUGACGCUGAGAAGCGAAAGCGUGGGGAGCGAACAGG
rnacentral:rRNA from 1 species